GCUUACGGGCAUACCUCUUCUGGCUCCGCCUGAUCUCGUCUGAUCUCAGAAGCUAAACAGAGUAGGGCCCUGUGUAGUACCUUGAUGGAAGACCGCCUGGGAAUCUCAGGUGCCGUAAGCU
ensembl:rRNA 5S_rRNA 5S ribosomal RNA